GAACCCCCGCUUAAAGGCCCACUAUGCAACUUUUUUAGCCAAAAUUACAUUAAGUAUGCAGGUUGAGAGUUAUGCUGAUGGUUCUGCAUCCAUUUCUGGGUCGAUUGGUGGGUGUGUCAUUUACCCAUGUCGCCUCUCCAGUGAAAAAGCGCAUAUGCAACUUGCUCUGUUCGGACCGACACAAUCCGGAUGUGACGCAACGGAAGUAUCCUCGAAAAUGUAGUCAGAUUGUAGUUUCGAAAAUGCUUUACGGCACAGACACACACCCAAACAUGGCACCGGCUAGAUAUAAACAGCCAGUUGCGAGGCAAUUGUUGCAUUCAUCAUGCUAUUUCCACCCCCAGAAUAAAGAAAGAUGUCGGCCGUAUGCUUCUGUGCAAGGGUCACUACUCUCUGUCGGUGAUGUCGGGUCAAGCUCCACGCUGAUUGGCUAUCGUGGCUAAGCGUCACGCGUUGGAGCGUUGAAAGUUCUGAACUCCGGGCGUUGGUGCUUUACGGCACAGACCCCGAAACGCGGAACCGGCUCGAUAUAAACACAAGUAACUAAGGGAUUGUUAUAUUCAUCAUAGAUCAGCCGACUAAAAAGAGACAGAGAAACCCAAUGUCGGAGGAACAGAAGAAGAGAAAAGGGAGACUGACCGACAGAGAGGCCAGACACGAGUAAACGUUGAGCAAGCUUUUCAGGAAUAGGCUAGCGUGAACUGAAAGAAAAAGAAGACUGCAAAUCAGACGCCGACUCGGCCGUGUUGCUUUUGAAAUUGAAAGUACCUUUGGGUGAACUUUGUCUUCGUGGUAUUCUUGAUGUUGAUAGUCUCUGUACAAAUGUGUUUGCUCAACCAUUUUGUUGUGAGCCCUGUAAAAAUUGUUUUCUCGACCGUUUUGUUGUGAGCCCUGUAUGUUUCUAGCUUGCUUGGUUGCAACCAUAUAAACACCUUUGUUUCCAUGGGUGUUUUGCUGUUCGUCCGUCUCGUCCCCCAGAUACAGACUGAAUCCCCGAAUCCAGGUUCUUGUUCAUUUAGAUUAUUAUGUUGGCCAAACCUCUUACACUGAUUGUUCUGUUCAACCUAAGAUAUAACAAUUAUAAUCUAGGAUAUACAUUCUCCCCGUCAACUAUAAAAAAGGAUGGAUUUAUGUUUAUUGCAAUACAAAUACACCUUUUUAAAAAUGUAUAACCUUGCCUACACUUUAUGAACAUCUACUUCGGACAUGGCUCCACGCAUUCGCCGGCUUCUUUGAAAAUAAAUGCACAUGGCUCGCGUAGAAGUGCAUGGGGAAGGGUCGUCAACGAGUUGUUACGACAGUGUUGUGAAAUAUCUACUACGAAGCUGUAGGGGGCGCUGUGUAGAGAAAUGUGCGGGCCAAAACCAAGAAAACAGCCAAGAAAUGCCCGAAGUUGCAUAGUGGGCCUUUAAAAAGGACUCUAACUUUUGGGUUACAGCCCCGAAUGUUUCCAAAUGCUAGCGACGCUCCUGAUCAGAGAUGUUGUAUCUAAGCAGGACAGAAGCUCAUGUAUGCA
rnacentral:lncRNA from 1 species